UGUGUUUAUGUGUGUGUGUGUGUGUGUGUCUCACUGCAGGUGGUUCAGUGUUUCUGUAUUCAGUGAUUCUGUAUGUAGUUGUUGAAGCUCUGCUCACUGUAGUUCUCUGGAGGAGAACGCUGACCCUAAUGCUGAGGAUGACUCAUACACAGCUCUUCAGCCCACAGCCAGGUCCUCUGAUAUGUACCACACACUUGCAGCUGUUCAGUCCAGUUCUCCUGAUGACCCGUACACAGCUCUGGACCCUCAGUCCAGUACUCAGUAACAGAGAAGGUGAUCAACUCCAUAUACAGUGGAUUCACUUUAGAUCCCUUCAUCAUGAUCCAGUGUGAGUGAACAUGGUGGAUUAGGACUAAGAUUAAGGAUGUUGUAUUGAACUGUGUUUGUGGAUGUUUGUUUUGACGUUGUCUGUUUCUUUGUUGUUCAUGUUUCUCUAUGAUAUCUGUGAGCUCAGUGUUUCUGGAGCUCUGAUUAUUUGGAGAUUAAUUUGAAUUUCUUUAUUUAAUUUGAAUUACUUUAUUUAGAAAAUGAUUUUUUUUUUAUUUUAUCUUUUAAUCUCAGACUUCCUAAGAUGUAAAAUUAAUGAAGUUCUUCUUUUUUCCUCUGUAUUUACUCAUAGCUCCA